AGUGAACGCUGGCGGAAGGCCUAACACAUGCAAGUCGAACGAGUGGCGGACGGGUGAGGAAUAGAUCGGAAUCUACUCUGUCGUGGGGGAUAACGUAGGGAAACUUACGCUAAUACCGCAUACGAUUGAAUGAGCCGGUGUCGGAUUAGCUAGUUGGCGGGGUAACGGCCCAACAAGGCGACGAUCCGUAGCUGGUCGGAGAGGAUGAGCAGCCAAAUUGGAACGGAGACACGGCCCAGACUCCUACGGGAGGCAGCAGUGGGGAAUAUUGGACACGGGGCGCAAGCCUGAUCCAGCCAGACCGCGUGGGUGAAGAAGGCCUUCGGGUUGUAAAGCCCUUUUGUUGGGAAAGCGGUACCCAAAGAAUAAGCACCGGCUAACUUCGUGCCAGCAGCCGCGGUAAUUC
rnacentral:rRNA from 1 species